rnacentral:rRNA from 1 species
GAUGAACGCUAGCGGCAGGCUUAACACAUGCAAGUCGAGGGGUAACAUAGAGAAGCUUGCUUCUCUGAUGACGACCGGCGCACGGGUGCGUAACGCGUAUACAAUCUACCUCUUACUGGGGAAUAGCCCGGAGAAAUCCGGAUUAAUGCCCCAUAGUAUUGCUACUUCGCAUGUUGAAGCAAUUAAAGGUUACGGUAAGAGAUGAGUAUGCGUCCCAUUAGCUAGAUGGUAAGGUAACGGCUUACCAUGGCAACGAUGGGUAGGGGGCCUGAGAGGGUGAUCCCCCACACUGGUACUGAGACACGGACCAG